AUCACAUUUACUGGCUGAUUUCUGAUGGAGUGGGAUUAACAAUAAAAGAGACUACUUUGGAAAAGAAAGAGCAAAAGCCUGGUCAGGCCAUAAGUAGGCUUGUAGCUAAGGAAAACAGUGGUUCUAAACAAGUCUGCGUAAAUCAAAUUCAAACAUUUGUUUAUUUGUUAGGAAAUCUGUGAUAUUUGACAAGUAUGUCUUCAAUUCUAUUGUCCAAGUCAUUGAUAAAGUAUGUUGAAUAGCACUGGGCCCAGGACAGAACUCUGUGGUACAUCACUGGUCACUUAUCUCCAGAAUGAAGAGGAGCCAUUGAUCUGGAAAUGCCUAAACAUACAAUACUGGAAAAAUGUCUGAACUGCAAUGUGAAUUCUGCUCAGUGUGGAGGAGGGAGACAGCUUCAAGUCACCUGUCCAUGCACUUCUAAAUUUCACCCUGUUGACCAUAUAAAAGUAUUUUUUUAAAAAAAGAAUUUUCUCUUCACCACUUUAUUAAAUGGCUUGUAAUUCUGUGACAAUAAAAAUGAAGAAAGCAUGUUGCUGAGUCAGAUAGGUGGCAGAAAAGGCAAACAAAAGGACCAGAGGGCUUUAAGAAUGCCUUUAGGAGGAAAGCUUGUUUGGCGCUGCAGUCAGCCCUCCAUAUCCACAUAUUCAACCAUUAACGAUUUGGAAAUAUUUUUAAAAUGACAUACCAAUAAUAUUUUUAAAAAU